rnacentral:rRNA from 1 species
UACGUAGGGUGCAAGCGUUAAUCGGCAUUACUGGGCGUAAAGCGUGCGCAGGCGGUUUUGUAAGACAGGGGUGAAAUCCCCGGGCUUAACCUGGGAACUGCAUUUGUGACUGCAAGGCUGGAGUGCGGCAGAGGGGGAUGGAAUUCCGCGUGUAGCAGUGAAAUGCGUAGAUAUGCGGAGGAACACCGAUGGCGAAGGCAAUCCCCUGGGCCUGCACUGACGCUCAUGCACGAAAGCGUGGGGAGCAAACAGG